CAAUCUAAACUAUACUAAAAGCACAAUAUAAAGCCCUAUGAAGCCCUCCACGUCGGAUAAAAAAAACAACCUAUCAGGAGCUUCCAAAUCGCCACGUCAUUUCUUUGUUACGUCGAAACUGGUUUUAACGGGCCAAUUCAGGUGAGCGUCUUAUAUUAAAAGCUAUGGCCCAUUUUAACCAGACCUAGCCUCCUUACAAACACUGCAUCUAAGUCGUCUCUUGCUCUUCCCCUUCAUGAUCAUCGUUUCUGAUUUCUGCAAUUCACAGUUUCUUUUGUAUUUAUCACUGUCCACUCACACUCAUUCAAUUACGAUAUUUUCUCCAAUCUUGAUGAGUAAAUGAUCCUUUCAUCUCCCUUUGUUCUCCUUUUAUAUAAACUCAUUCAUUGAAGUUCACAUUCAACCAUAAUCAACAACCUCUGUUCAACGAUAUCAAUCCAUGGCGAUGAAAUCGGUUCAAAACUCUGGCAAGUCUCGGAGAUUUUCUUACACCCUCUUAUUUAUCAUAGUUAAUUUAUUUUAUCACCCUAAACUUUCCAGAGAGCAAACGAAGCCCUGAACGAAAUCAGAGAAAGAAGAUCAAACUAUGAAUCUGAGAAUAUGAAAGAGGACGAAAACAUGUUGAAUGUUGUCAACUAAAGGGUUUUGUCUGUAUUUGUAUUUGAUUCUUGGAUCUGACGUAUCAUUCAUUUAUCUGUAUUGCAGAGAUUUGGCAGAUAACAAAGCCAUCGAGUUUUGGAUCCUACAUUUGGCAAGAGCCUACCCACGAAAUAGGUAUGAUAUUGUCAUCGUCUCUCUGCAUUAAAUUGAUGACACUUUGAUGAUGAUAUAUUUAAACAUAUUGGAAUCAUGAUACAUAUAUAUAUAUCUUCUCAUACUAUUUUUUCGAGGGAGUGUUUUGAAGCUGUCCACGAAACAUGAUAUAUCUUCUCGAUGGAAAUUCCAAUAAUUAUUGACGGUUGAAUCAUCACAAACUUCACUAACUCAGGUACUACGUUUUAAUAUGAAACCAUGUUAUUGUGUUUGUUCUUUGGUUGCACGUAACGUUUUCUCAGUCUCCGUAUAUAUGUUUUUGUCUUUGCUGAUGGAUUUAAAAUGUGACGUAGAACAUAAACGAGAACCGGUCGAAAACCAAAGCAGCUUUUUUCGAUGUAAUCAGAAGUGGAUCUACAGCCUUUGCCAACUAUCUGAAACCAAACUGUGUUAUGUGGGUAUCAAGUUUGUUGCCUGAGUUAGUGAAGUUUGUGAUCUGUGGGUAAAUUUAAUUGUGAAGUUUAUUAUACCCAACUAUCAAUUUGCAACCUGACCCGGUCAAGUGCUUAAAGAAAAGCAACAAGAGACUUGAGGAAAACUUGAUUUUUGGAACUCAACUCCAAGAUUGAUUUGAGCCGGUAAAGAAGAAAAUCAAAGCAACCACCCCAUUCAAUAUUUUGCAUCAUGAACGAGCCUCUCAAUCUCAUGACGGAUACUUCUCCACUCUCUCUCUCUCUCUCUCUCUCUCUCUCUCUCUCUCUCUCUCUCUCUCUCUCUCUCUCUCUCUCUCUCUCUCUCUCUCUCUCUCUCUCUCUAUGAUGUUAUUUUAACGGGUUUCCGCAUGUCUUCUGUUGCAACUUUUUCAGGGGAGACUGUUUGGGUAAAAUGAACAGAUUUCUAAUCCUUUCGCUUAUUUCCCCUUUCAUUCUAUGGCAGAAGCUCAAUUUUGAUGAAUAGUUCAAGCUGAUGUCAUGGCUGGACUUAAUGGCAAGUUUUUCUCCUACACAAUUAGUUCCUUAAUUUUUUUUCUUCACCAGCUGCACUGCGAUCUAACCUUUGAUAUUUCCUCUUAUAUUAGACUGAGAGGCACCAGCUAGAUGAUCAAUGAAAUUCUCCGAGUUUACCCGUUUUUACAAUUUUGUUUUCGUUGUGUGCGGUGAGAAUGGACAUAAGAGUAUCACUGUAGGUAAAGCAACAAGUUUUGGCUUUUAUACGUUGUCUGCAUGGGAAUCUAGAAGGAUAUGACUCUAAAGAUGAACAGCACAAAGAUUAUCGUCGCUGCCACACAGGAUUAAGAAGUGUUCCAGGCUUAAAGAGAAUAAAAAUCUAAAGACAAUGAAAAAAAGUAUCAGAACUCGAUACUCUUAUUCGCCCCCAAACUUGAAACGAAUCGGAUCCGACAAGAGUCCAAGAUGUUCAUUCAUGUCACAUUGCGGGAUCGAGUUUUCUCACAAGGGUUUGCGAGUCAUUAGAAUAUGAUGAGUACGCAAGGGUAGAAACCGCUCCACACCCGCAGCAAAAAGGUCUGGCCACAAUCUCAAGAGUUAGCAAAGCAAAGAAGGAUAUCAAACCAAAGAUUUGAAGAAAGAGGCUGCAGACGGCGGAGAAACUAAGGAAUAAGAUCUGUUAUUCAUCAUUCAAUUGUAAUUUUUUUUGUGCAGUCGUUAGAUAAUGCUUUCAUUAAUAUCAACCAUUUGAUGACAUAUCUUUCAUCCCGAUUAAGACCAUCUUCUAUUGA